UCGGAUAUAGUGUAACGGCUAACAUUUGCGCCUUUCAUAGCUAUUCUGGUAGUUUCGCGCAAGCUCGGGGUUCGAUUCCCCGUAUCCGAA